rnacentral:lncRNA from 1 species
GUUAAAUAUCCGAAUCUCAAUAAAACUUGUUUAAUAUUUUGAAUUGAUAUAAACUGAAUAAUCUGACUUUAUGUACAUUGGAAUUUUAUAUAGAAUUUUGCUUAAAAUCGAUUCAAUUCUUUCUAUAUACUUCAGUGAAGUUAGAAAAGGAAAAAGCUUCGUCAAGCACGACGGUAGAGACACACCUUGACCAUCGGAAUAAAGAUGGCGACGAAUGCUGUGAACGGUACGUUAGAACAAAGCUGUAAUUCGAAUCCAGCCAAAGAAAGCAAAACAUCAUCAUCAACGAAUACAGAAGAGAUCGAACAACAGACUUACGUAAAUGGCACAGCAGUCACGUCUACGGAUACAUCUGACCUGUCUGAAGAGACAAAGGUAAAGUCCUUUCUUCUCUACACUCAAUGGCGUCGCUCGUUUGACAAGCGAAGCCUUCCAAAUGUAAAAAGCGGCAUCCUUUCAGGCAAAAGAAAUAAGCUUAAAUUACUCACAGAACAUGGGGAUUAAGUUAUUUGAGGACGCAUCCAUAAUAUAUCAAUUUCUUUAUUUUUAUUGCAAAUCUGUAAUAUGAAUUACUAAAAGGAUAAAAUGAGAUGGAGAUAAAAUAAAACGGAUUAUUAGAGGUUGUUAAAUUUUAUGAAGUUCAAAUAUUAUUAUGCGAAUAAGUUAAAAAUGAAUUGUGUAUAAUGUGACAUGUUUUUUUAGGAAAAUAAAUUGUAAAUUUCAAUUAAAUGACAUAACUCAGUUUCUCCGUAUUUUCA